GGGAAACUGGGCGACAUGGGUGAUAGCCCCGUAUGCGAAAACUCGAUGGGCCACAUUAAGUAGGGCGGGACACGUGAAAUCCUGUCUGAAGAUCGGGGGACCACCCUCGAAGGCUAAGUACUCCUUGCUGACCGAUAGCGCACUAGUACCGUGAGGAAAGGUGAAAAGCGACCCCGACAAGGGGAGUGAAACAGUUCCUGAAACCGGACGCCUACAAACAGUCGGAGCCUACCGUGGACCUUCGGG
rnacentral:rRNA from 1 species